GAUGAACGCUAGCUACAGGCUUAACACAUGCAAGUCGAGGGGCAUCACAGUGUAGCAAUACACGGGUGGCGACCGGCGCACGGGUGCGUAACACGUAUGCAAUCUGCCCGUUACUCGGGGAUAGCCUUCUGAAAGGAAGAUUAAUACCCGAUAGUAUCCAUUAGCGGCAGCGCCUAUGGAUUAAAGAUUUAACGGUAACGGAUGGGGAUGCGUACGAUUAGCUAGUUGGCUGGGUACCGGCCCACCAAGGCGACGAUCGUUAGGGGUUCUGAGGGGAAGGUCCCCCACACUGGAACUGAGACACGGUCCAGACUCCUACGGGAGGCAGCAGUGAGGAAUAUUGGUCAAUGGUCGAGAGACUGAACCAGCCAAGUAGCGUGAAGGAUGACUGCCCUACGGGUUGUAAACUUCUUCUGUUUGGGAAUAAAUGAUACUACGUGUAGUAUUUUGCAUGUACCUUACGAAUAAGCAUCGGCUAAUUCCGUGCCAGCCGCCGCGGUAAAAC
rnacentral:rRNA from 1 species